AUUCAAACAUGGUAUGAUGCAAGGGGUGGGCAUGUUAUAAAUGCUGGGGUAGGUCUGGGCACCUCCCAGUUCCUCAUCUGGACUCACUGGGAGAAGUGAUUCACUAGAAUUCUCAUUGGAAGAAAUGACAGGAAAGCUCCCUCCAAUAUCUCAAUUUCCACCCCACUCAGUACCUGGUUUUAUGAUUCCACACCCUCCUAAUCCAUCCUGCCCUCCUAACACAUCCCACUCUCGUAAGCCAUCCCACUCUCGUGCCCGCGAAUCCCUCCCUCUUCUUCCAUCUGCCAAGCCCCUUCCUCCUCUCCAGAAGUACGUGGAUUUUUCAGUUUUCUGCCCUAACUGUUAUCCCACUGUGGCUCAUACCUGCCCUCCCCACUACCCUACCCUAAUACUCUACCUGCACUGCUCUUCUGCUAUUCAUUACAAACCAUCCAUUUGUCAAUGCUCUAGUCCCAGAACUCUUUCUGGUAACUCCCUUAUCGAUCACCCUAGCCCUCCUUCUAGCCCUACUGGUCAACGCUUGGGUCCCAGAACUCUUCCCUGUGAUUCCCUUAUCCGUUCUCCUGUUCCUCCUCCUAGCCCUCCUUGCCAACGCUCUGGUCCCAGAACUCUUUUCUGUGACUACCCUGUCUGUCCCCCUACUCCUCCUCCCAGCCCUACUUGCAAAUGCUGUCGUCCCAGAGCUGUUUCCUGGGACUCCUCUACCUAUGCCUCUACCCCUCCUCCUUAGCCCUACUUCUUUCUAGUACCCUGUACUCUAGUCCCCAGCCCCCAGCCCUGCCAUCCCCAACCAGACCUUAUGGUUCACAAGUCUCAUCUUGGAGAUGGUUUCCCUGCUCCCGGGGCAGUUCUGGAACAGUUCAGGAUGGCCAGGACUGUGGAUUCCCAGCAGUCUGACCUCGUGGACAAAGGAAAUGCAAGACGAUGGCAAACCAGCAUUCAGCCUCAUCUGCUCCUUUCCUCCCCUGCCUCAUCAGCCAGCCUGCAUGAGCCUCUACAUUUGUUCCUGGCUUCUCCAUGGAACUCGGUCUACAGCCACAAAGCAAACCACAGGGCCAGUGACAGAGAAGGCAGAGGGGAGUGUGGAGUGGGAAGCACCUAACCUGUUCUCAAGGAGGGGAAUGAUUGGCCAAGAUGAGUUUCAAUCGUAUGUCCACUACCUCCUGGCCUGCCACUUGGCUGUGAGUCCUUUCUGGGCGGUGUCCAGGGGCGGUUCCAGUGAUCAGGCAGGUGCUGAGAAGCACAGGCAGGAUGAGGGGAUACUUGCCAGGAGACAGCAUGGGAUGCCAUUGCCUAGAGUUGGCAGAAGGACCAGGAGCAGGCAGGCAGCGAGAGAACACCCAGAGUGCUCCUGAUCGGACCAAGCUGCAUGGAGGCCACAAUGGGACACCUGAGGGAAAAGGUGACCCCAGAUGAGGUCCAUCGGAACCAGAUAUUGUGGGAACUGUCAAACCAGACCAAGAAGUAUGGAGGCCACAGAGGGACACCCCAGGGAGGUGACCCUGGAUGAGGUUCAUCAGAACUAGAUCUUGUGAGAACUACCUGACCAGACCAAGCAGCACAGAGGCCACGGUGAGACACCUGAGGGAGAAGGCGAACCCAGAUAAGGCUCAUCGGGUUCCGAUCUUGUGAGAACUGCAGAAGGCGACCACAGAUGAGGCUCAUCAGAACUAGAUCUUGUGAGAACUGCCUGAGCAGACCAAGCAGCACAGAGGCCACAGUGAGACACAUGAGGGAGAAGGUGAACCCAGAUGAGGCUCAUCAGGAACAGAUCUUGUGGGAACCAGAGAGGACAACCCCGGAUGAGGUCCAUCAGAACCAGAUCUUGUGGGAACUGCACUUCAAAGUGCUACAGACCCACAAACACUACAUGCAGCAUCACAUGAAUGCCCUCUGCAAGGGUGAGGGGCCUGGCAGGAUGGAGGAAAUACCAGAGAGGGGGGAUGCGCCCUGAAAAAAAGGAGAGCCCUGGGGACUGCGGAAGGUGGAGUGUGCGUCUCAUUAAAGGAGAAGAUACCUUCUCACACCCUACCUCCUUUUAUAGACUUUAGGAGCAAUGUCUUUGGAGGGGGCCUCACCUACAUCACAUCAGAUGCAUUAAAU
rnacentral:lncRNA from 1 species